rnacentral:lncRNA from 1 species
AAAAAUCGUAAUAUAAGUUAAUGCAACAGUGUUUUUUUUUAUAUAUUUCUCAUAAUAAUUUUUUUGGAAUUUUAAAAAAUAAAUAAAUAAAACAGAGCAAAUAUGAUUGGGGUGAGUGUUUAAAUCUUAAACUCGCUCCGCUAUAAAAAUAAGGGUGUGACAGACAUGCUAGUCUUACAUAAAAAUUACAACAAAAAUUUGUUAAAAUUAUUCUCGCAAAAACUAAAAAAAAUAUAUAAUUUUUUUUAUAAGAAAACAAAGUUUGGAAUUGAAAAUGAUACAAUCAAGAAAUCAAUAAGGAAAAACUAAAAAAAAAAAAACACUAAACCAAUAACAAAAAUUGGAUUCACUUUAUCGCCCGUAAAAAAACACAAAAAGAGAGAAACAAAUUAUGUCCAACAAAUACCGGGGUUAUUAUAUCAAUCGGAGCGAGAAAUAUUC